rnacentral:pre_miRNA from 1 species
AGGCAGUGUACUGCUAGCUGGCUGUUGUGUCUGACAGGUUAGCAGCUGCUAGCUACACUCCACA